rnacentral:rRNA from 1 species
CCUACGGGAGGCUGCAGUGAGGAAUAUUGGUCACUGGGCGCGAGCCUGAACCAGCCAAGUAGCGUGAAGGAUGCCUGCCCUACGGGUUGUAAACUUCUUUUAUAAAGGAAUAAAGUGAGGCACGUGUGCCUUUUUGUAUGUACUUUAUGAAUAAGGAUCGGCUAACUCCGUGCCAGCAGCCGCGGUAAUACGGAGGAUCCGAGCGUUAUCCGGAUUUAUUGGGUUUAAAGGGUGCUUAGAGGGGUUCUUAAGGCAGUGGUGAAAGUUUGCGGCUCAACCGUAAAAUUGCAAUUGAUACUGGCAGCCGUGAGUACAGUUGAGGUAGGCGGAAUUCGUGGUGUAGCGGUGAAAUGCUUAGAUAUCACGAAGAACUCCGAUUGCGAAGGCAGCUUACUAAACUGCCACUGACAUUGAUGCUCGAAAGUGUGGGUAUCAAACAGGAUUAGAUACCCUUGUAGUC